AUUGAACGCUGGCGGCAGGCCUAACACAUGCAAGUCGAGCGGUAGAAGGGAGCUUGCUCCUGGCGUCUGCCGCGGGCGGGAGUGUAAUGCCGAAGAAUCUGCCUGCUAGGGGGGGAUAUCGUCCGGAAACGGGCGCUAAUACCACACGCGUCAUGGGGGAGAAAGGGGGGGCUCUUCGCACCUCGCGCUUUCAGCUGCGCCUAGGUCGGAUUAGCUAGUUGGUGGGGUAAAGGCCCACCAAGACGACGAUCCGUAGCUGGUCUGAGAGGAUGAUCAGCCACACUGGAACUGAGACACGGUCCAGACUCCUACGGGAGGCAGCAGUGGGGAAUAUUGGACAAUGGGCGAAAGCCUGAUCCAGCCAUGCCGCGUGUAUGAAGAAGGUCUUCGGAUUGUAAAGCGCUUUUAGUUGGGAGGAAGGGCAGUAAGUUAAUACCUUGCUGUAUUGACGGUACCGACAGAAUAAGCACCGGCUAACUUCGUG
rnacentral:rRNA from 1 species